rnacentral:rRNA from 1 species
CUAGCUGUAAACGAUGGAUACUAGGCGUUGAGAGUAUCGACCCUCUCAGUGUCGUAGCUAACGCGUUAAGUAUCCCGCCUGGGGAGUACGCGCGCAAGCGUGAAACUCAAAGGAAUUGACGGGGGCCCGCACAAGCGGUGGAGUAUGUGGUUUAAUUCGAUGCAACGCGAAGAACCUUACCAGGGCUUGACAUGUCCGGAACCCUGCCCAAAGGCGGGGGUGCCUACGGGAACCGGAACGCAGGUGGUGC